rnacentral:snRNA from 1 species
AUGUUUUGUCAAUCGACACUUG